CAGGAAGUCCAGUUCAAUUUGAGCUCCAAAUAAACAACAAAUAAUUUUUCAGUAUAAUUAUGUCCUGUGCAAUAUUUGGGACGUACUUAUACUAAAAAAUGAUUCAUUGUUUAAAUUUGAAUUUCAGAUAAACAAUGA
rnacentral:miRNA from 1 species